GGCCAAGUCACAGGAAGAGGCAGGCCACUGCAGAUGUGGAGCACUCAAUAGCAGCAGACCCCAGUGCUGAGACAGCUGCUACGCCACAGCUAUUGUUGAGGAGAUGCCAUUGAAAAGAAGUCAUGGAAGAGAAGAGAUGUGUAUAAUAGCGACUAGGUCACCCAACUUGCUUCCAUCAAAGAGAGAAUUCACAGCACUGCAGAGACAAGUACAUGGCCCUCCUGGUACUGAUACAGCAGCAGCCACCGGCAACUCCCACUAUGACCCAGAGGCAGCACAGUCCUGUUCCCUGACCUCCACCCCAGCUCAGCAGAGACCGGGUACACAGGACACCCCAACAUGAGCCAUCCCUUCACUCUGCACAGAAGAUGAGAGGCUCCUGGUCCUGAGUAGCUUGCCCAGGGUGGUGAGCAGCAGGCAGGAAUAAUUGCAUACCGAGGCCCAAGUCCUCACUUUUGUGUUAUGUCGUGUAAGGAGUUCUGCAAUCCCUCACUGACAUGGACCAGGGAGCCUGAUCCUGAGGACCUUUGGGCACAGUGCUUGAGAGGGCAAUGUUUUCAUCCUCCACUUCCCAGGCAGCCCCAGGAAAGAAAAAAUAAAUAUCCAGGAAUCGCAAAUCUGCUCACAAGAGAAGAGAAGGACCCUUUGGAUCUGUUAAGCAGAAUUUCAGCUGAAGAAAAAGAAGCUGUCACUUGCUGACUGUCAGCACGGAGCUUUCAAGCAGCUACACAGCCUCUUAGUAGAGUAGGUGGGAGGUAUUAAUAAAGGAGCAUAGCUCCCCAUUGUCUGUUCUGCUCAUGUGUGCAUAACUUGUGUACCCAUGUGUAGUAAGAUUAAACACCUGUGUGCUCACCUUUGGAGGAAUCUGAAGUCUUUAUGACUGUUUAACUGUAGCAUUUCCCAGUGCCAUUACCUACUGGUACAACCACUGCUACAUUCUUUAUUAGGACAGAGCAGAGAAUUCAGAAAAACCUUUGGCACAUGAGAUUUUUACAAUCAGUUGAAUGUUAGGGUUUGUGCCUUCUCUACAGAGUAAAGCUUCUUGGUUGCACUGAUUCAUAGAUCCAGAGUGGAACCCCCUUCUAAUCAACUCUUAUGGUGAAGAUCUGUUUAAAGUGGAAUAAAAAGUCUCAAACAUUUUCAGUUGAUUGCAAUGUGCAGACUUCAGUUCCAGUUAGUGCAAGCCCUUAGCUAUA